UACGAAGGGGGCUAGCGUUGUUCGGAAUUACUGGGCGUAAAGCGCACGUAGGCGGCUUUGUAAGUUAGAGGUGAAAGCCUGGAGCUCAACUCCAGAACUGCCUUUAAGACUGCAUCGCUUGAAUCCAGGAGAGGUGAGUGGAAUUCCGAGUGUAGAGGUGAAAUUCGUAGAUAUUCGGAAGAACACCAGUGGCGAAGGCGGCUCACUGGACUGGUAUUGACGCUGAGGUGCGAAAGCGUGGGGAGCAAACAGG
rnacentral:rRNA from 1 species